rnacentral:rRNA from 1 species
AGUGAACGCUGGCGGUAGGCCUAACACACGCAAGUCGAACGGCAGCACAGUAAGAGCUUGCUCUUACGGGUGGCGAGUGGCGGACGGGUGAGGAAUACAUCGGAAUCUACUUUUUCGUGGGGGAUAACGUAGGGAAACUUACGCUAAUACCGCAUACGACCUACGGGUGAAAGCAGGGGAUCUUCGGACCUUGCGCGAUUGAAUGAGCCGAUGUCGGAUUAGCUAGUUGGCGGGGUAAAGGCCCACUAAGGCGACGAUCCGUAGCUGGUCUGAGAGGAUGAUCAGCCACACUGGAACUGAGACACGGUCCAGACUCCUACGGGAGGCAGCAGUGGGGAAUAUUGGACAAUGGGCGCAAGCCUGAUCCAGCCAUACCGCGUGGGUGAAGAAGGCCUUCGGGUUGUAAAGCCCUUUUGUUGGGAAAGAAAAGCAGCAGGUUAAUACCCCGCUGUUCUGACGGUACCCAAAGAAUAAGCACCGGCUAACUUCGUG